rnacentral:rRNA from 1 species
UACGUAGGGGGCAAGCGUUGUCCGGAAUCAUUGGGCGUAAAGCGCGUGUAGGCGGCCUUGUAAGUCCGUUCUGAAAGCCCGGGGCUCAACCCCGGGAGGCGGAUGGAUACUGCAAGGCUCGAGUACGGAAGAGGCGAGUGGAAUUCCCGGUGUAGCGGUGAAAUGCGCAGAUAUCGGGAGGAACACCAGCGGCGAAGGCGGGUACCUGGGCCAACACUGACGCUGAGGCGCGAAAGCUAGGGGAGCAAACAGG